GGAGCCCAGGGGGGACCGUGGCCGCACUCAGAGCGCGCCUCGUCCUCGUCCACGGCUGCCCUGCGGCCGGCUCUUCCAGCUCCAGCUGGACCAAGCCAAGUCGACCAAGGGCCAAAGAGCACCAGUGACUCACAUGAGGGACCCCCCCAAAAUCUUGAUUUCAAGAGAAAAGGGGCCCGGGAGCCGUGAGUCCCCAUGACAAGGGGUAUUGGCCAGGCUCCGGGGCCAUGGCUGGGGCCCAACUCUGGACUCAGAGGAGGAUUUACCCAAGAACCUGGGGAUUUAUCAGCACAUCGAGAAGACGCAAGCGCUCUGGAAGAACAUGCUUGGAAAUAGGACUGACCCUGCUAUUUGGGACACUGGGACCGUGUAUCCGAAAGCUGGCUUCCAGCUGAGCUAACACAAAAAGCCAGAGCGCUCCAGCCUGCCCUGCCAACCCCAUCCUGCACAUGUGCGCCUUGUUGGGU